ensembl:snoRNA
AUCCUUUCAUGGUUCAUAAGUGUAAUGAUUGGGUUUUCAUGCUCACAUGUGAGAGAUGCCUCCCCCAAGU